GGGCAGCAGUGGGGAAUAUUGCGCAAUGGGCGAAAGCCUGACGCAGCGACGCCGUGUGCGGGAAGAAGGCCUUCGGGUCGUAAACCGCUGUCAGGAGGGAAGAACACCCUAGGGGCGAAUAGGCCUUAGGACUGACGGUACCUCCAGAGGAAGCACCGGCUAACUCCGUGCCAGCAGCCGCGGUAAUACGGAGGGUGCAAGCGUUAAUCGGAAUCACUGGGCGUAAAGCGCACGUAGGCUGUAUUGUAAGUCAGAUGUGAAAGCCCUCGGCUCAACCGGGGAAUUGCAUUUGAUACUGCUUUACUUGAGUACUGGAGAGGGUGGCGGAAUUCCCGGUGUAGGAGUGAAAUCCGUAGAUAUCGGGAGGAACACCAGUGGCGAAGGCGGCCACCUGGACAGUAACUGACGCUGAGGUGCGAAAGCGUGGGUAGCAAACAGGAUUAGAUACCCUUGUAGUC
rnacentral:rRNA from 1 species